ensembl:snRNA U6 U6 spliceosomal RNA
AUGCUCGAUUUGGCAGCACAUACACUAAAAUUGGAAUGAUACAGAGAUUAGCCUGGCCCAUGUGCAAGGAUGACAUGCAAAUUCAUGAAGCAUUCCAUAUUUGG